CGUGGAUUUCGAAGUCCACGGAGUUGACCGAUGUCCAUGGAGCUGAUUUACUUGUGUAUAUAUUUAUCGGAAUUUAAAAAUGUAUUAGAAAUGCGAAUAUUUAUAUAAAUAUUUUUUACUAGGCCUGUUACAAUGACUAAAAAAAGGAAAUUGGUGAUGAAAAAAGAAGAAAACAAAAAAGAGAAGCAAGGAGAGCAAAGGCGUAGGGAUAAAAUUAGUUAAAUUAAUUAAGUUCAAACUGCUCAAGUUUCGAUGCACACUAUUGUCUGGUAUCGAAAAGUGUGUGAGGAUAUUAAAGCUGAAAGUUUUUGCAGCUUCUCAGAAUGCCUUCGUCACGACCCCUCUGCUAUAGUUGCUCAUUUAGCACCACUGAUAAAAACAAUAAGAGAAAUCAUGCCAUUUUUAAACAGGGUACAUUUUUGGAGUGAUGGGCCAAGUACCCAAUAUAAAAAUAAAACCAUGUUUUAGUUUAUUGGAACUGAGUUGGCUAAUUAACUUGGUGUCGGUGAAAUAUUUUGGAAUUACUUCGAAAGCAGACACGGAAAAGGAGCAGUGGAUGGGGUUGGUGGCUGUCUAAAAGAACUGCCGACCGAUUCGUAGCUUAUGGAUAUGAUAUUUCAAAUUUUGAGCAACUAAUCUUUCAUCUAAAAGAUGCUCGUCCUGGAAUCCAAAUCGAAAGCAUUACGGAAAAAGAUAUUAUUAAAUGAGAUGAAUUAUUACCCGAUAAUUUAGAACCAUUUAAGGGUACGAUGAGUGUACAUCAGUUAUACUGGAAUGAAAGGGAGCCAUAUAAUUUCGUCGACUUAGUUGCCCAAAGCUGCAUUUUAGGUACAUACUGCGCUCAUUAUGGAUUAGGACAUUUUCUCAUAAAAACGCAGUUUUCAUCUUUACCUUCUAAAGCGGUUAGUUACAAUGACAUUUAUUCAGAUUCCGAAGACGAUCAGCCUUUAUCUUCCUUCAUGGAGAUAAAUCAGAUAAAAGCUCCAAGCUUACCAAGUAACAAUUCCUUUGUCCUGGUUGAAUGGCCAAAAUGCUCUAAAAUUUAUUACGUUGGGCAAAUCAUUGACACAGUAACUGACAAAAUCUUUGAUAUAAAAUUUAUGAGAAGACUUCCUUCACUCAAAAAUAAGUUCGUGUUUAUUUGGCCAACACAAGAGGAUACAGCCCCAGUAUCUUUGGCAAGCCCUCAAGCUUUACGAAGGAAAAGAUUUGUUUUUAAGGAAGAUACUUUUCCGAAUUACAUAACAGUGAAAUAAGAAGUAUCUUUAAUGUAAAAGGCUGCAAUAUUUCCUUCUAAUUAAAUACAAAGCAUGAAACUGCAAACCUCAUGGACAUUAAUGACUGGCCUUUGUAAAAGAUACAAGGCUAUUCCAUAUUACCUUUAACUGAAAGGAUUAUUUGAUUUACUAAGAUAGCCAAAUUGAACUACAUAUAUGUAUAUAUAUAUAUAUAUCCGACAUAUAUUUAUAUACAUAUAUAUAUCCAUACACUGACAACAUAGAUUUUGGGAUAGAUAUUGCAAGCCAGUCAUACAAUACAAAAUAAAUUAUUUGUUUAAAUGCUUAGUUAUCCAUUUGGUAUAUUUCUUAGAAUAUAAUUUUAUUAAUAUGUUA